rfam:Actinomyces sp. HMSC065F12 Actinomyces_spHMPREF2975-1.0_Cont15.1, whole genome shotgun sequence.
GCGCCGUUAGCUCAAUUGGCAGAGCAGCUGGCUCUUAACCAGCGGGUUGGGGGUUCGAUUCCCUCACGGCGCA